UACGGAAGGCAGCAGUGGGGAAUAUUGCACAAUGGGCGAAAGCCUGAUGCAGCUAUGCCGCGUGUAUGAAGAAGGCCUUAGGGUUGUAAAGUACUUUCAUCGGGGAGGAAAAAAACAAAACUAAUAAUUUUAUUUCUUGACGUUACCCGAAAAAGAAGCACCGGCUAACUCCGUGCCAGCAGCCGCGGUAAUACGGAGGGUGCUAGCGUUAAUCAGAAUUACUGGGCGUAAAGAGCACGUAGGUGGUUUUUUUAAGUCAGAUGUGAAAUCCCUGGGCUUAACCUAGGAACUGCAUUUUGAAACUGAAAUACUAGAGUAUCAUAGAGGGAGGUAGAAUUCUAGGUGUAGCGGUGAAAUGCGUAGAUAUCUGGAGGAAUACCUGUGGCGAAAGCGGCCUCCUAAACGAAUACUGACACUGAGGUGCGAAAGCGUGGGGAGCAAACAGGGAUUAGAUACC
rnacentral:rRNA from 1 species